ACGGGAUGCUUAGGCAUCUAGUGGCGGACGGGUGAGUAACGCGUGAGAAUCUGGCUCCAGGUCGGGGAUAACAGUUGGAAACGACUGCUAAUACCGGAUGUGCCGAAAGGUGAAAGAUUUAUUGCCUGGAGAUGAGCUCGCGUCUGAUUAGCUAGUUGGUGGUGUAAGGGACCACCAAGGCAUCGAUCAGUAGCUGGUCUGAGAGGAUGAUCAGCCACACUGGGACUGAGACACGGCCCAGACUCCUACGGGAGGCAGCAGUGGGGAAUUUUCCGCAAUGGGCGAAAGCCUGACGGAGCAAUACCGCGUGAGGGAGGAAGGCUCUUGGGUCGUAAACCUCUUUUCUCAAGGAAGAAGAAAGUGACGGUACUUGAGGAAUAAGCAUCGGCUAACUCCGUGCCAGCAGCCGCGGUAAUACGGAGGAUGCAAGCGUUAUCCGGAAUGAUUGGGCGUAAAGGGUCUGCAGGUGGAACUGAAAGUCUGCUGUUAAAGAGUUUGGCUUAACCAAAUAAAAGCGGUGGAAACUACAGAACUAGAGUGUGGUAGGGGCAAAAGGAAUUCCUGGUGUAGCGGUGAAAUGCGUAGAUAUCAGGAAGAACACCGGUGGCGAAAGCGUUUUGCUAGACCAUAACUGACACUGAGGGACGAAAGCUAGGGGAGCGAAUGGGAUUAGAUACCCCAGUAGUCCUAGCCGUAAACGAUGGAUACUAGGCGUGGCUUGUAUCGACCCGAGCCGUGCCGGAGCUAACGCGUUAAGUAUCCCGCCUGGGGAGUACGCACGCAAGUGUGAAACUCAAAGGAAUUGACGGGGGCCCGCACAAGCGGUGGAGUAUGUGGUUUAAUUCGAUGCAACGCGAAGAACCUUACCAAGACUUGACAUCCUGCGAAUCCCGGUGAAAGA
rnacentral:rRNA from 1 species